AAUAUAUAACUUAUCGAUUUCCUAACCAAACAGUCGUAAAAAAAACAAUGAAAAUAUCUAAUAAAAAUACAGUUAGAACUAAAAACAUCGGAAUGAAGAAAAUAAUAAUCUACAACGUGAAAAUCUCGGCAUGUAUUUUAAUGGUAGUGGCUUUCUUGUGUGAAAUAUUUUAAGAUAACUUAACGUCGGAAACGCUGGCUAAAAAUGGAUAUUUGAGAUAGUGCUUCGUGUAUAAAAACGUAAAGUUUUCGAUUACGAUGCUGUGAAAUAACUCUUUCAUUACUUUAAUGAGACUGCCUACUGUCUGAUACCAUGCUUAUGAAGAGGCCUGAAAUGUAUGAACGAUAGACAAACACUUUUAAACAGGACGAAAUGAUAUUACUACAAAACUGUCUCUCCAGUACUAUUAAUAACACAACAAUAACGUUCUUAGAUCAAAUGAG
rnacentral:misc_RNA from 1 species